rnacentral:rRNA from 1 species
ACGCUGGCGGCAGGCCUACACAUGCAAGUCGAGCGGUAGGGAGAAGCUUGCUUCUCUUGAGAGCGGCGGACGGGUGAGUAAUGCCUAGGAAUCUGCCUGGUAGUGGGGGAUAACGUUCGGAAACGGACGCUAAUACCGCAUACGUCCUACGGGAGAAAGCAGGGGACCUUCGGGCCUUGCGCUAUCAGAUGAGCCUAGGUCGGAUUAGCUAGUUGGUGGGGUAAUGGCUCACCAAGGCGACGAUCCGUAACUGGUCUGAGAGGAUGAUCAGUCACACUGGAACUGAGACACGGUCCAGACUCCUACGGGAGGCAGCAGUGGGGAAUAUUGGACAAUGGGCGAAAGCCUGAUCCAGCCAUGCCGCGUGUGUGAAGAAGGUCUUCGGAUCGUAAAGCACUUUAAGUUGGGAGGAAGGGCAGUAAAUUAAUACUUUGCUGUUUUGACGUUACCGACAGAAUAAGCACCGGCUAACUCUGUGCCAGCAGCCGCGGUAAUACAGAGGGUGCAAGCGUUAAUCGGAAUUACUGGGCGUAAAGCGCGCGUAGGUGGUUAGUUAAGUUGGAUGUGAAAUCCCCGGGCUCAACCUGGGAACUGCAUCCAAAACUGACUGACUAGAGUAUGGUAGAGGGUGGUGGAAUUUCCUGUGUAGCGGUGAAAUGCGUAGAUAUAGGAAGGAACACCAGUGGCGAAGGCGACCACCUGGACUGAUACUCACACUGAGGUGCGAAAGCGUGGGGAGCAAAC